rnacentral:rRNA from 1 species
AGUGAACGCUGGCGGUAGGCCUAACACAUGCAAGUCGAACGGCAGCACAGUAAGAGCUUGCUCUUACGGGUGGCGAGUGGCGGACGGGUGAGGAAUACAUCGGAAUCUACUUUUUCGUGGGGGAUAACGUAGGGAAACUUACGCUAAUACCGCAUACGACCUACGGGUGAAAGCAGGGGAUCUUCGGACCUUGCGCGACUGAAUGAGCCGAUGUCGGAUUAGCUAGUUGGCGGGGUAAAGGCCCACCAAGGCGACGAUCCGUAGCUGGUCUGAGAGGAUGAUCAGCCACACUGGAACUGAGACACGGUCCAGACUCCUACGGGAGGCAGCAGUGGGGAAUAUUGGACAAUGGGCGCAAGCCUGAUCCAGCCAUACCGCGUGGGUGAAGAAGGCCUUCGGGUUGUAAAGCCCUUUUGUUGGGAAAGAAGAGCAGCAGGUUAAUACCCCGCUGUUCUGACGGUACCCAAAGAAUAAGCACCGGCUAACUUCGUG